rnacentral:rRNA from 1 species
GACGAACGCUGGCGGCGUGCUUAACACAUGCAAGUCGAACGGAAAGGCCCUGCUUUUGUGGGGUGCUCGAGUGGCGAACGGGUGAGUAACACGUGAGUCACCUGCCCUUGACUUUGGGAUAACUUCAGGAAACUGGGGCUAAUACCGGAUAGGAGCUCCUGCUGCAUGGUGGGGGUUGGAAAGUUUCGGCGGGUGGGGAUGGACUCGCGGCUUAUCAGCUUGUUGGUGGGGUAGUGGCUUACCAAGGCUUUGACGGGUAGCCGGCCUGAGAGGGUGACCGGCCACAAUGGGACUGAGGGAGGGCGCAGAGGGCUACGGGAGGCAACAGUGGGGAAUAUUGCACAAUGGGCGGAAGCCUGAUGCAGCAACGCCGCGUGCGGGAUGACGGCCUUCGGGUUGUAAACCGCUUUCGCCUGUGACGAAGCGUGAGUGACGGUAAUGGGUAAAGAAGCACCGGCUAACUACGUG